UGUUUCUUUAACAGUGCUUUGCUGACAUCUACUUGGUGAAUAUAAUUUACAUCAAUUCAACGUUGUCAGGGACAAAAAUUGUUAUGGCUGGUUGGUUUACAUCCAAGAAUAUGAAGUCACCAGAUUUCAAAAAGUGAAAUUUUUCAAUUACUAUUUUUGGAAAGUAAAAGAAAUAUUUCAAACUUUGUAAGAAUAAAAUAAACUACAUAUUGUAAAAUGACUGAUUAGUGGGACAAUGAAUUGCCUCCUUAGGUAAAAAGAUGGGUGAUAAAUAAAGACAAGAAAACACUAGAAAGUUAUAUAGGGCUUUCUAUACCAACCAAUAUAUUAGUAUAUUCAUAAUUCUAGCAUCUGAAAAGCGGCUAAUGGGAAAAUUGAAGAUAAUUUAUAUGUCCUGUUUUUUGAAAAAUAUUUAGAUUUAUCUCCAUUCAUGGCUAAUAUAAAACAAUAACACUGAGACACAGAUACUUAGCAAAACAGAUAAAUGAAUCUGCUAAAAAAAUUAAUAAUUAAUUAUAUAAUUGAAUUAGGAUGCACUGAAAACGAAUAUCCUUAUUUGAAAUACGAGUCAUAUCUGGCUUGCCACCUGGUUUUGUAAAUAAAAUUUUAUUGGAACACAGCCACACCCAUUCAUUCUUUCUUCUUUCUGAAGUUUAGCUUCCCUUGUUUACCUAUCAGCAUUAUAUGCUUGAAAAUGGGAGUUUCGUGCA
rnacentral:lncRNA from 1 species